GGCUGUUUGGUCUAGUGGUAUGACUCUUCCUUAGGGUGGAAGAAGUCCUAAGUUCGAUUCCCGGAACAGCCU
rnacentral:tRNA from 1 species